GCAGCCAUUCUUCUGCCUAUUCAGGCCUCCUCUGUCCCUAUGCACCAUCCUGACAGCUGCCCCCAGUUUUGUUUGGACACAUAAAAACACCUCUCCGAGGAUUGAGACGCUGUUGCCAUUAAUUCUAAAUGAAGUCUUUGGAUUUGCCCCUGAAAUGGCCUGGGACCAUCUGACCUAAGACUGCAUCUCUCCCAUGACUGAAGCCCCUUUGCUCUAAAAGGAGAAGGAAGUGCUGGCAACGUGUUCUCCAGGAGGACCUCUCAGCUUUGGAGUCUCCUCUCCCCUGAUCUGAUAAAGUCCAAAUCUGUCGGGAAUGCUGCACAACCUGGUUAGCUGACCCAGGGACAUGUAUUCCCGAAGGAUACCUUAUUUAUACUGUAGUCCAAUGUACUCUUCAUGCUUUCCACUUCUUAUGUAGGAGCUCCCCAUAUGCGCUUCUGGAGUCCACGCUGACCCCUCCCAGGACAGCCGACCAUGCUGCUUUUAAACCACACAAGCGAAACCAGCUUCCUUUCAGCCUGAAAGGCAAAGGCAGGUCUCCAGUGCCUGGUACUAGUGUACAAUGCUGAAGCUGCGUUGUUCUUUCCCAUCUAGAUUCUCCCCAGGACUCUCCUUUGUGCUGUUCUGCUGCUGCUGCUUGUAUCGGUGCUGAGCAAGGGCAAGGCGAAGUGCAGCAUUGUGGAAAUCCUGCGGCAAUACCAAGCCGUGAUCUUCGAUGAGCUCCAGAACCUGAAAAACUUGACUCGAUCUGCUGAAACCCCAAGGAGGGGGAGAGCUGGCCUAGCCUGCCUCUCUAACAAGGAGCAGAAAAUCCUGCUGUCUAUCUCCACCAUGAGCAUGUCUCUCAGGGACAUGGUCAGAGGCCCCUGGAGGAAUCCUGAAGUGGUGGCUGUGAUGCAGGUGGUCAGCAACACGGAGUCUGUGACCAAACAGAACUGCAAGAAAAUCCACAAGAAGAGUCUGUCAACAGCUACAGAGAAACCGCGACACAGAGGCCAGGGCAACAGGAGAAAGCAGCUGAAGGUGAUAGCGCGAACAGUGGAAAACUUGGUCACCUGCUGGGAGAAGCUGUUCUCUCUCCACUCAAAGGACUGGGACACAUAGGGUCAGUAGGAAGCAGUGUAUGGUGCUCUCCCCAUGGGUGCCGAGUACCUGGGAUUGUACCACCACCUCCGUACUAGCCAGUAAGCAACACUGAUUUCCU